UAUCACAGUGGGCUGGAGGUUUUCCCUAUCAGGAGUGUGAGCACUACCAGAGUGAGAAAGGGCAAAGCAGAGAUUUUUGUGGACUGGCAGCCCUGCCCAGUAUGUGGAGAGGAAUGGCCCCCUUCCUGGCAGCCGAAAGAGAACAUCGAGAUGACUCGAAUAAAUGAAUGAAAAUGAGA